CAACAAAUUGCUUUGUUGUCUUCUUUCCUUCCCAUCUUCUUCGUUACCUUUGGAGAUCACCCAUGGCCUCCGACGCCAUACGCGCAACCUGGGUCACCAUGGUCCAUCACCACCGGAUCUCUUCAGAUACUUCUUGACCGGCAUCAGACUCACCUCCAGAUCUCUAACAGGUAGCUUCCGGGGAUUAGGUCGUUGAAGUGCAACUGGCGAGCUUUCAACCUCCUUAACACCUUUGUGCACGAGAUCCUUACCAGCCUUUCUCAGUCUUCAAGGAUGUGGCAGAUGGCCGAAGCAAAGACCUUCGUGUUCCAGGCAGAGAUCAACUAUCUCCUAAGCUUGAUUACCAACACUUUCUGCAACAACAAGGAGUUCCUUCGCGAACUAAUCCACAACUGAUCUCAUGCUAAAGUUUCCUUCACUCUCACAAGGGACGUCAGUAAAGAGCAACUUGGCAGAGGAACCAAAGUGAGAAGAUGAAGAAACAGAACUGAAGAACUGAAGAACUGAAGAACUUGACAAUGUGAAGAAGGAGAGAUAUAUCGAAGAACUGAAGAUCAAUCAAGAAGCUUUGAUUUCAUGUAUUUCAAUACGAUUGUAAUACAGUCUCUGUAUAUCUUGAAUCUUCAAUGAACAAGGAAGAUUUGAACUUCUAAACUUUACACACGCUCUUUCUCUCUA